CUCUCUUUUCUUCAGUUUAUAGAGUUUUCGAGUCUGUGUAAUGAUACUAGAGAGCUGCAGCUGUGCAUUCCGAGUCCCACCACGGAGGCAUUGGGAUCUUCCUAAAUGAAUGAUUAUUUUUACUGGGAAAGCAUCAUCUGCAGCGGAAACAAGAAUUUUAGCUAAUACUUCUGCACAAUCCUGCUCAUUUCCAUUAUUGACAAUUGGAAGAGAAGAUAGCUGAUUGUCAACAUAAUUUUUAUAAUUUAGCCAAGUGCUGCUCUUACUAUGUGGAAGUUUGUGUUUUAAGUGAGAUAUUCUAGGUUGUGAAUGUGGGAUUGGGAAUGGAAAAGAUAUUUUGAUAGGGAAAUGAUCACUACCAUAUGUUAAGGGAAGGGUGCACCAAGUGAGACGAGAAGCAAAGUUAGGAGUGCAGACAGAUAAAUCUAUUGCGCUAUUGUUCUGACUUGGAUCACUGCGACGUGUGGGGGAACCAGAAUUUAAUAUACAUAAAUUAUGUGUAUCAAAUAUAUUGAGUAGUUCUUCCCCAUAGGAGUUAGAAGUUGAACUACCCCAUGACUGGUGAUGGCAGUUAAAAUCACCUAACAGUAUAUAAGGAUUAGUAAGUGUGGAAAGAAUACUGUUAAUUUCAUUAAGUGAAGAAUGAGAAGGGUGAGAUAUAUAUACAGAUAUAAUACAUGUUUUAUUUAUAAUUAUAGCUAUGAUUGAGAUUUCUUCACUGUGUGAUGGUAGAGAAACCACAGUGAAAGGAAUUGAAUCCUUCACAAGUAUAGCUACUCCACCAUAUCCAUCUGGUCUAUCCUCUCUUACUGUUGUAUAACCAUUAAUUUUAAAUAUAUUAUUUGAUUUGAACCAUGUUUCACACAAGGCAAAAACUAAAGGUUCGUAUUUAUUUAUUAAAUAAAUAAUAUCACUUUUUUAUUUAUUGCGCUGCGGCAAUUCCAUUGGAUUAAAUGAACUUGAUUGUCCAUUUUGGGGUGAUAUCGAAGAAAUGAGACUAUGAAGUGAAGCAGCGUUGGACGGUGAUAUGUUAAAUGAGGAUAAAAGGUUAAUUAAUGCCGUAAUAAAUUCCAUGAUAUUGAA